rnacentral:rRNA from 1 species
UGGCCUGGGGGCAACCCUGAGCGCAAUGCCGCGUGAGUGAAGAAGGCCUUCGGGUUGUAAAGCUCUUUUGUCUGGAAAAAACAGCAGCUCUAACACAGUCUGCGAAUGACGGUACCUGAAGAAUAAGCACCGGCUAACUACGUGCCCCAGCCGCGGUAAUACCUAGGGGGCCAGCGUUAAUCGGAAUUACUGGGCGUAAAGCGUGCGCAGGCCGUUAUACAAGACAGGCGUGAAAUCCCCGGGCUUAACCUGGGAAUGGCGCCUGUGACUGUAUAGCUUGAGUGUGUCAAAAGGGGGUAGAAUUCCCCGUGUAGGAGUGGAAUGCGUAAAUAUGUGGAGGAAUACCAAUGGCGAAGGCCGCCCCCUGGGAUAACACUGACGCUCAUGCACGAAA